UAGGGAAUCUUUGGCAAUGGACGAAAGUCUGACCGAGCAACGCCGCGUGAGUGAAGAAGGUUUUCGGAUCGUAAAACUCUGUUGUUAGAGAAGAACAAGGACGUUAGUAACUGAACGUCCCCUGACGGUAUCUAACCAGAAAGCCACGGCUAACUACGUGCCAGCAGCCGCGGUAAUACGUAGGUGGCAAGCGUUGUCCGGAUUUAUUGGGCGUAAAGCGAGCGCAGGCGGUUUCUUAAGUCUGAUGUGAAAGCCCCCGGCUCAACCGGGGAGGGUCAUUGGAAACUGGGGGACUUGAGUGCAGAAGAGGGGGGUGGAAUUCCAUGUGUAGCGGUGAAAUGCGUAGAUAUAUGGAGGAACACCAGUGGCGAAGGCGGCUCUCUGGUCUGUAACUGACGCUGAGGCUAGAGAGCGUGGGGAGCAAACAGG
rnacentral:rRNA from 1 species